rnacentral:rRNA from 1 species
UACAGAGGGUGCGAGCGUUAAUCGGAAUUACUGGGCGUAAAGCGAGUGUAGGCGGUUCGAUAAGUCGGAUGUGAAAGCCCCGGGCUCAACCCGGGAAGUGCACUCGAUACUGUCGAGCUAGAGUAUCGGAGAGGUUGGUGGAAUUCUCGGUGUAGAGGUGAAAUUCGUAGAUAUCGAGAGGAACACCGGUGGCGAAGGCGGCCAACUGGACGAAUACUGACGCUGAGACUCGAAAGCGUGGGGAGCAAACAGG